rnacentral:rRNA from 2 species
GCCAUGCCGCGUGCAGGAUGAAGGCCUUCUGGGUUGUAAACUGCUUUUACCAGGGAAGAAAAGACUCAUGCGUGAGGAACUGACGGUACCUGGUGAAUAAGCACCGGCUAACUCCGUGCCAGCAGCCGCGGUAAUA